GACAGAGGGUGCAAACGUUGUUCGGAAUUACUGGGCGUAAAGCGCGUGUAGGCGGCUAAGUAAGUCGGGCGUGAAAUCCCACGGCUCAACCGUGGAAGUGCACUCGAAACUGCAUAGCUAGAGUCCUGGAGAGGAAGGUGGAAUGCUUGGUGUAGAGGUGAAAUUCGUAGAUAUCAAGCGGAACACCGGUGGCGAAGGCGGCCUUCUGGACAGUGACUUACGCUGAGACGCGAAAGCGUGGGGAGCAAACAGG
rnacentral:rRNA from 1 species